rnacentral:sRNA from 1 species
AAUUAUUGUUCACUUUUUCCUUUGUGUAUAAAAUUAUAAAUAUUAAUCAUAUUACUACUUUGUCUUCUACUAAACAUACUGUUUAAAACAAUUGCAAAAGAAGUAUUUUACAGCGAGAGGGAAAUGAAUUUGAAUGUUUACAGAAGACCACCUUUGAAUAAUUGCAGUUUGCUUCUGUUGUAGAGCUGUUUACGAUCUGUGCUGGAACAAAUAGCAGCAUAUGGCCAGGUUGUGUUUCGACUGCAGGAGUUCAUUGAUGAAGUCAUGGGACACAGUUCUGAGAGCAUGCUGCCUGGAAGUGGGUCUGUUCCUAAGAAGUCAACUGAAGCUCCCUUUAGAACCUACCAGGCUUUCAUGUGGGCCCUGUACAAAUAUUUCAUUAGUUUCAAAGAGGAACUUGCAGAAAUUGAGAAGUGCAUCAUCAAUAAUGGUAUUAAAUGUUCUUCAUCUUUACUCAUACUACACGUAACUCAUAAUUUGAAUGCCAUUUAGAGUUUUCAUUAUAUAAGAUUUGAAAGUUGCCUAGCAAAUAAGUAGUUCUCGUGAAUGCUUCAUUUUUAAAAUUAUUUUAAAUUUAUAUUUUUAAGCCAUUCAUAUCUCUAAAAGUCAAAAAACUACAGAAGAUUUAGAAUGAAAAAUCUAAAUUAUUCUUCCUGCACCAGUACCCCAGCCAGUCAGUUCUCCUCUCCAGAGACAGCCAGGUCCUUGGCUUCUUACGCAUCCUUCCAGAAAGAGUUUCAACAUACAUGAGCAGUACAUAUACAUAUACGCAUACCUAGCAGUCAUUACACUGCUCUCUUCAAAUUUUUCUAGUUUAAAUUUUGAGGAUAAUACCAUACAUAUAUGAAGAGCUUCUGUUUUCCUUUUUACAAAUUGAGUGUUUCAUCAUAUGGUCGUAUCAUAGCCCAAUCUCCUUAAUGGAUUUAGGUUGUUCCCAGGCUUUUGCUAUUGCCAGUAGUGCUGCAGUGGUAAUCACUUCUACAUAUCCAUUAUCGUACACAGGCAGUGAGUUAUCUGUAGGGUAGGUUCUUUUUUUUUUUUCAUUUGAGACGGAGUGUCGCUCUGUUACCUAGGCUGGAGUGCAGUGGCGCAAUCUCUGCUCACUGCAAGCUCCGCCUCCUGGGUUCAAGUGAUUUUCAUGCCUCAGCCUCCCGAGUAACUGAUUACAGGCACCUGCCACCAUCCCCAGCUAAUUUUUGUAUUUUCAAUAGAGACAGGCUUUCACCAUGUUGACCACCUUGGCCUCCCAAAAUGCUGGGAUUACAGGCGUAAGCUGGGAUUAUACUGCAUCUGACCAUGUGGGAUACUACAAUAACUCUUGCAAUAGUGGUGGACAAGUUGGCACCUCGAUUGUCUCAGCUCAAGGUUCUGCACAAAGUGUUUAGUACUGGAGUAGCAGAAGUUCCACCUGAUACUCGAAAUGUCGUCCGGGCCUCUCACCUGCUUAACACCCUGUACAAGGCCAUUCUUGAAUAUGACAAUGUUGGAGAAGCCUCUGAGCAAACCUGACCAGGGAACCCUGAGAGCUGACCGUGCACACUCUCUGCCUCAGGUCUCCCUCCUUUUCUCUCUCUGGGUGGAAACGGUGCGGCCUUACCUGCAGACGGUGGACGAGUGGAUCGUGCACGGGCACCUGUGGGAUGGCGCCAGGGAGUUCAUCAUCCAGAGAAACAAAAAUGUUCCAGUUAAUCACAGAGACUUCUGGUAUGCAACUUACACGUUAUAUAGCGUAUCAGAAAAGACAGAAAAUGAAGAAAAAAUGAGUGAUAACGCUAGUGCGAGUUCUGGCAGUGACCAGGGGCCCUCCAGCAGGCAGCACACCAUGGUGUCCUUCCUCAAACCUGUCCUGAAGCAGAUCAUAAUGGCUGGCAAGUCGAUGCAGCUGCUGAAGAACCUGCAGUGUGCGGAGAGCACCACCUGCCAGGCAGGAGCCAGAGAUGCAGAAAGAAAAAGUUUAUACACUCUCUUUCUGGAAUCUGUACAGUCCCGUCUUCGACAUGGAGAAGAUUCCACUCCACAGGUUCUUACUGAGCAACAGGCAACCAAGGAGAACCUAAUGAAGAUGCAGUCCAUUGCUGAAAGCCAUCUUGAACUGGAUGAUGUUCAUGAUCCACUGCUUGCCAUUAACUUUGCAAGGAUGUAUUUGGAGCAGAGUGACUUUCACGAGAAGUUUGCUGGUGGUGAUGUAUGUGUGGAUAGAUCAUCGGAAUCUGUGACAUGCCAGACUUUUGAAUUAACGCUGAGAUCCUGCCUCUAUCCUCAUAUUGACAAGCAGUAUCUAGAUUGCUGUGGAAAUCUCAUGCAAACUCU